AUUGAACGCUGGCGGCAUGCCUUACACAUGCAAGUCGAACGGCAGCACGGGAGCAAUCCUGGUGGCGAGUGGCGAACGGGUGAGUAAAGUAUCGGAACGUGCCCAGUCGUGGGGGAUAACGUAGCGAAAGUUACGCUAAUACCGCAUACGAUCUAAGGAUGAAAGCGGGGGAUCGCAAGGCCUCGCGCGAUUGGAGCUGCCGAUAUCAGAUUAGGUAGUUGGUGGGGGAAAGGCUCACCAAGCCGACGAUCUGUAGCUGGUCUGAGAGGACGACCAGCCACACUGGGACUGAGACACGGCCCAGACUCCUACGGGAGGCAGCAGUGGGGAAUUUUGGACAAUGGGCGAAAGCCUGAUCCAGCCAUGCCGCGUGCAGGAUGAAGGCCUUCGGGUUGUAGACUGCUUUUGUACGGAACGAAAAGAUUUGGCCUAAUAAGCUGAGCUCAUGACGGUACCGUAAGAAUAAGCACCGGCUAACUACGUGCCAGCCGCCGCCGUAA
rnacentral:rRNA from 1 species